UACCUGUGUCUGUUAGAGUCAGUAGCAGGUUUAAAAUUAGGAAAGUUAUGCAUAGCUGGACCUCCCACUUAGCUUUAAAAGCUUUGUAUUCCACCCUCUAUGACACAUGGCUAUAGGUUAGAUUCAGAUAAUUAAACCGGUUUCACACUUGUGUGGUUUCAGGUUGCAAAUUAGGGCAUAGUGUUCUGCUAAACAACAAAGAAAUGAGCAAUUUGAAAAGCCCAGCAUUUUCAAAUUAAACACAAAAUUUAUCUUAUUUACAUAAAUGCUUUUAUGAGGUAAACUCAAAUAUCAAAUGUCAGCGCAAUGUACUGGGCCCCCGAUAAAGUGCCAAUACAACACAAAACAAUGAAUAUGGGAAACACUUGUUCAUUUUUCUGUUUUCACCACACAUAUCUGAACUGCCCCAGGAAGAAAAGCAAGAAAGGAAGGUUGUCUCCUGCAGGCUUCUGUAGUUUGCGUGUGCUAGACUGCAACAUAAUCUGCAAGGUGCAGUGUAGCAGACAGAAGCUGAAGGUUGCCACUAAACUGCAAAUCUCAUUUACUACAUGACUACUGGAUAUGGGAAUAUUCUGAUGAACUUGACAGCCAAACACCUUUGAUGAAAGAGCAACACCACACAGGAUGUGCUCAGGUAUCCAGGGAUAAACUAAGCGCUCAGCCAGCGAGUUUAAUUCUACGGUUGUUUCUGAGACCACCCCACCUGGUUUGCCUUUUACAAUGAUGUGCAUCACCCUUCCCUUGUUAAUAUGGGCAUCAAAUGUGCUGUCCCAUGGAGGAUACAUGCAAUGAGAUGAGGCAGGAACAUCAGCAGUAAUCCAGGCUAUACUCAUCCGGGAUGGUUAAUAGAGCUGUCUACAUGUAUUCAAAUGGCUUGCUAACAUUCUGCCAAAAGAAAAUGAUCAGUUUUGGACAGUCUUUCUGUACAGCAGUGUAAAUCACUUACCAGCUGCUUUCAGUGGUGUACUGAGAGGAUAGGAGUUUGCUUCACACCAGCCAACAGGAAAAAUAUCCAUGGAUUCUACAUCAACAAUGUAUUCUGGAACUGGCUUCUGUAAACCUACAUGAUUUUUACAAUGACAAGACAGAAAAUGGUACUGAGCAACCAGUAUUGAUCGUGAGUGAGUGGAUCAUGGUAUGGUAAGAAGCAAGUGUAACCUCUAUGGUCCUAUAAACUGUAUUUUAAUACAGUUUCAUUCUGUAUGUAAUGUGAAAAUGAAUACUACUGAUUAAAUAUGAAAACAAAUUAAAUAGAUAACCUUUA